rnacentral:rRNA from 1 species
UGGCUCAGGAUGAACGCUAGCGGCAGGCCUAAUACAUGCAAGUCGAACGGAUAUAUGUUUUCGGAAUAUAUAUUAGUGGCGCACGGGUGAGUAACACGUACAUAACUUGCCCUCAAGCGGGGGAUAGCCUUGGGAAACUGAGAGUAAUACCCCAUAGAAUUAUUGGACGGCAUCGUUUGAUAAUUAAAACUACGGUGCUUGGGGAUAGAUGUGCGUCUGAUUAGCUAGUUGGUGAGGUAACUGCUCACCAAGGCGACGAUCAGUAGGGGGCGUGAGAGCGUGGCCCCCCACACGGGUACUGAGACACGGACCCGACUCCUACGGGAGGCAGCAGUAAGGAAUAUUGGUCAAUGGAGGGAACUCUGAACCAGCCAUGCCGCGUGAAGGAUGACGGCCCUCUGGGUUGUAAACUUCUUUUGGAUGGGGCGAAAAAACGGGGAUUUAUCCUGGACUGACGGUACCAUCAGAAUAAGCACCGG